rnacentral:lncRNA from 1 species
UCAAGAUCUUCCUCACCGAUAGUCUCAAGGAACGCUCUCUUGUGCAACACUGGCUCCUCUUCUUCUACUACCCAUUGUUCUGCUGUGUUGGUGACAAAUAUUGUGUUCAAGUCUAUCGGCCCAUAGUCUUCAAGCUUCCUUCUUAUUUGUCUUCUUAUUUGUCAAAGCUAGGCCCGCCAUGCAUGUCUGCGCUAGGCCCGCCAUGCAUGCCCAUGUUAUAACCAUCAGGCAUUUAAACCCGCGUUCCUUUUGGUAUGUUUCCCUUAAACCCAUUCUUGUGACCAUCUCCAAGUUAUUAUUAUAUUGCUCUUUUGGAUCAUUCCCGCUUGAUGGCGUAUAUAAACUAGCUAUCUCCUCAUCCAUCCUUUGCUUUGCAAUUUUUUACUUUUGGUAGCCUUGAGAAAUGCUGCCAUAUGCUUUCUUAUAUUAUUAGGGACACUAUUACACGCAGAAGCAUCUCCCUUAACCCCUGCCAAGUGUUGCUUGAACCUAUGUACCGCACUACUUAUCACUCUUUGACAGUAAUUACAAAUAAUUUUGUCUUUUUUGUUGGGAUCAAGUCUGACCCCAUGUUGCUAUGCAGGGUCUUCCGUAGAUCUUGCCAUGGUUCAACUUUAAUAUGUAAAAGGUUAAAAAUUAACCUGACAGUUCAACAUUAAAAAUACUCACCACGUGUAGUGAUAAUAUGUAGGGGUAGUUCAUGAAGUUAUAUUUGUUGUUAAUGCAAAAUACUUCUAUUGACAAAAAUAUUUUAGUUCCUAUUGGGAAAAAUAUUUUAUUUAUGCAACAUUAUAGAUAAAAGUAGCCUCUAUCAGCCACUACAUAUAGAACAAAAAAUUUACAUUGAUAUAGUAUCAAUAAAAAAUAUAUUUACAAUGGUAUAGUAAUUCACAAUGCCAGUACAUAUGGACUUGUCACAAAUCUUCAUUUCGACAAACAUGAAUUAGUUCGUACUGAGAAAAAAAAAUAUUUAUGCAACAUUAUAGAUAAAAAAAAGUCUGUAUAAGUCACACUUAGAAUCAAGAACAAAAUUACAUUAAUAAAGUCAGCCUUAAUGCCACUACACGUAUAUUUGACACAAAAAACAUUUACAAGGACAUAGUCAUUCACAAUGCCACAAAUAAAAUUUACAAUGAUAUAGUGGGCACAAUCCCAACUCGAUUGAAUUGAUCACAAAUACUCGUACAUUUCAAUUACAAAUAUGCAAGAUAAUAUAAUAAAAAAUGCAAGCUCCAAACAUGGCUACAACUCAAUUAUCAAGAACAUACAUUUUUUGCAUUAAAAAUUUAAUAAUAAAAUUGAAAAAUGCAAGAUAAUAUAAUUAUCAUACAUGCCACGAUUUUUUUACAAUGAUAUUCACUUUAAUUC